UAUGCCUCACUCAUCAACAUCAAUGCUUACCACCAACCUGGUGUGGAAGCUGGGAAAAAGGCAGCAGGAGAAGUAUUAGCUCUUCAGAAGCGGGUUUUGGCAGUACUCAAUGAGGCAAGUUGUAAAGAGCCUGUUGAACCAUUGACGCUUGAGGAAGUAGCUGAACGUUGCCAUGCAGAAGAAGAUGUUGAAAUGAUAUACAAGAUUGUUGCACACAUGGCUGCCAAUGACAGAGCA
rnacentral:misc_RNA from 1 species